rnacentral:rRNA from 1 species
CACGUAGGGGGCGAGCGUUGUCCGGAUUUAUUGGGCGUAAAGGGCUCGUAGGCGGCUCAGUAAGUCGGGUGUGAAACCUCCAGGCUCAACCUGGAGACGCCACUCGAUACUGCUGUGGCUAGAGUCCGGUAGGGGAGCAUGGAAUUCCUGGUGUAGCGGUGAAAUGCGCAGAUAUCAGGAGGAACACCAGUGGCGAAGGCGGUGCUCUGGGCCGGAACUGACGCUGAGACGCGAAAGCGUGGGGAGCGAACAGG